UUAAACAAAGAAUCAAACGGAACAAAAUUCCGCCAUACACGCGCGCGCAGUUACCAAAAAAUACCGACGCCGGUUACCGAGCUCCGCGUUUGUCGAUGUUGCCCCAGUUGUCACCUUGAGUAUACUCACCCGCAUAUGUUGCCUGGAACCCCCUACCCGGGCGUUUGGCAUUCAGCCUCGUCUCCGAGGUGCGCCCGCAUGCGCUGCCAUGCUCCGCGUCGGCGACGCGCUACAACGUUUACCGGGCACGCCUAAUCCCCGGUGUCUCGUCCACGGUCCAUAGCCAGUCUUACCUAUAAGCGAGAGCGAGAAGUAAAAGCAUAGGGCGGCAGCACAGAAGUGUCACGGGCAUGCAAAAUGGCAACGGUGAAGAGGGGCGGCGUGCAACAGACAUGCUACCUAGCGACCUAACACGCAUCCCACUAACUAUACGAAUGCCCGGAAAAAGGGGGGGCGAGUCAGAGGCAACGAAGAGACAAAUAUCGCUAGGCUGCAUGGGCUUCCGUGGCGGGCGGCGGUUAUGGAGACGCUGAUCGCGCACGACGAGGCACUGGGCCGGAACCCCAUGUGCAUGUGUGUGUGUGUGUGUGGGGGCGCCGUGGGCUGGCGGGGGCUGGCCCCCCGCUCCCCACUCCACGGCGGCACCGAUGCGAGGCAAGCACGCGGCCGCAAUGGCCGCAUCGGUGAAACCCGAAACACUCCCCUGGUAGCGCGGGCGCAAGGGCCCCCAACGUGGUGUCCACAGGUCCCCCCGGCAGUUGAUGACCAACAUGGCUCCGACAUGUCCAGCGCCAGAGCUCGCCUCCAGGAGGGGGGGGGGGGACGAGGAGGAGGAGGAGGUGGGAGAGGAGGAGGAGGACGAGGAGGAAGAAGUGGAGGAGGAGGAGGAGGAGGAGGAGGAGGAGGGGGAGGAGGAGGAGGCGGAAAGGGGGGGGGGGGGGGGCGCCACGAAAGCGACGCGGGCGACUGGGCGGGCUUGAUUGUCGGUGUCGCCGCCGAGCGGACGCCCAACCCAACCCAGCUCCGCGCACCCGGCCCGGGACAAGUGAACGGACAAAGCAAAAAAGAAGAGCAGCCCGAAGGCUGAAAAACACGCCAAACCAUCCAAACAUCCCAAGAAAAAACCCCGCGACGAACAACGCGCGGACGCACAACACCGGACGCAACACUGGACCACACCCCGCACGUACAACAGCACAAGAAACAGCACGGCCCCCUUGCAUCCGGAGAACGAGUCCCGCCGACGGCGACAAGACCCGACAACAAAAAACUCGGUCUUCCCCUGACGGUCCAAAGACGACACAGGCAUAAUGCCCAUGUGUUAAACAAAGAAUCAAACGGAACAAAAUUCCGCCAUACACGCGCGCGCAGUUACCAAAAAAUACCGACGCCGGUUACCGAGCUCCGCGUUUGUCGAUGUUGCCCCAGUUGUCACCUUGAGUAUACUCACCCGCAUAUGUUGCCUGGAACCCCCUACCCGGGCGUUUGGCAUUCAGCCUCGUCUCCGAGGUGCGCCCGCAUGCGCUGCCAUGCUCCGCGUCGGCGACGCGCUACAACGUUUACCGGGCACGCCUAAUCCCCGGUGUCUCGUCCACGGUCCAUAGCCAGUCUUACCUAUAAGCGAGAGCGAGAAGUAAAAGCAUAGGGCGGCAGCACAGAAGUGUCACGGGCAUGCAAAAUGGCAACGGUGAAGAGGGGCGGCGUGCAACAGACAUGCUACCUAGCGACCUAACACGCAUCCCACUAACUAUACGAAUGCCCGGAAAAAGGGGGGCGAGUCAGAGGCAACGAAGAGACAAAUAUCGCUAGGCGGCAUGGGCUUCCGUGGCGGGCGGCGGUUAUGGAGACGCUGAUCGCGCACGACGAGGCACUGGGCCGGAACCCCAUGUGCAU
rnacentral:lncRNA from 1 species